GCCGCCGUCGACGGCGGCUCCGUCGGCGUCGCCGUACGAACGGACAUCAAGAAGCCGCUGUUGGCUAUGAUGUGCGUCAGAGGGCGAGGGGACCUCCUGGGGCCACUGGCGUCGUCUUCAACCCCCUGACCCCGCCGCUCGCGCCAGUCGUCGACUCCGCCGCCUCCGCCGCCGCUACCGCUACCGCAGCUAAAGCGAACGGCCCUGUUGCCGCGCCGCGUAGCCCCGAGGGCCUUGUUGGUGACGACGGCAGUUCCUUCUUCCGGCGGGAGCUGCUCGACCGCGGUGGCCGUUGCAGAUCCGAGACCGCCCGGUGACCUAACCGCCCUUGUUGUGCGUGGUUUCUCCGCCUGUGCCUGCUCC
rnacentral:lncRNA from 1 species